rnacentral:rRNA from 1 species
UACGUAGGUGGCAAGCGUUGUCCGGAAUUAUUGGGCGUAAAGCGCGUGUAGGCGGCUUUGCAAGUCGGGUGUGAAAGCCCUCAGCUUAACUGAGGAAGUGCGCCCGAAACUGCAUGGCUUGAGUACCGGAGAGGAUGGCGGAAUUCCCCAAGUAGAGGUGAAAUUCGUAGAUAUGGGGAGGAACACCGGUGGCGAAGGCGGCCAUCUGGACGGAUACUGACGCUGAGACGCGAAAGCGUGGGUAGCAAACAGG